CUUCCACACAGCUCUCCUGCCAGCCAUGGACGGUGUGGACCGUAAUCUGGGCUGACAUCCACCCAGCUAUGGUAAGGCCUCAGGUUCACUGUGGUCUCUAGCUUCCCUGAUAGCACGCCUGCUCUCAGACUCUGGCCACAGUGGACUUACUUUCACAAAGUAUACAGAGAGGGUAGCAUUGGACAUCUUAGUCUCCCCAAAAGUCCGAAUGUUGAAGGCUGCAAUUCUCAGAGUCCCAGCCAGCUGCAGCAGGUUGACCAAGGUGAGCAGUGUUCCCAUUAGCCCUGUGUACCGCAUCCUGUGAGAUUGAAUGGUCAGGACAAAGAAGCAGUGAAGCUCCCAUCCCCAUCAAAGACUAAAGCCUAGCUUGUGCUGAGCCAGUGGGAGGCCCUCAGUCCUUCCCCUGUACUUACCUGAAAGCCAAUCUGAGACGGCUGCAGCAGUCAGAACAGACCUGCUCUGUAUGAUGAGCCCCCGAGUCUGCACUGGAACUGGAUGAACAAGAUGCUGUCUCUACCAUGCCGAACAUCAACAGUAGGACCAGGAGCACACUCUGGAGGUACAAGAACCAGGAAGGUAGAAGCAGCUGAGUGCUUCUGGAGUUUUCAGUCAGAUCAACAAGGAAGUAUGUGCUGACAGCCAGUGACCAUAAGGAACACUGGCCACUUUUACGGAUCAGGUGAGCUUUUUAAAGGUCAGCUCUGAUUAUUUACAAUGUUCUCUUUAAAUUGCUCUUGUCACAGAUACCAAAUGGGGAAGUAACGAAUAGCAAUAGAUUAUUAAAGUGUGAGCCAAGUCAAAGGAUAUGG
ensembl:antisense Gm15879 predicted gene 15879